AACGCUGACUUCACCAGACUCUCUUUGGCUGCGUCUGACUCUGCAGGAGAAAAGCUAUAAAAAAAAAAAAAGGAAAGACGACCUUCAGUGAGUGCAGACCAAACAAAUCAAUCAUCAAUACCUUACUGUCCAAAAAUAACACAUGAUUGCUCCAAUUACAAGCAGUUAUCUACUCUUUCACCGCUCAAUCGUUGCCAUGGUUACCUGAUGCUGCCCUCAAGUACUUUGCUGGCAAGCGCACAAUAGCACAAUAGCUCAUCACCACUUAAAGGUCCAAACCAUCUUCAGUCAAAGUACCUGUCUGAGGACAACAGCAUUUUUACUCCCACUUACUAGGAACACUGGGAGUCAGUUCUUUCAAGUACCUUGUCAAAGCAAACCAGGUUCAGUUGACCACACAUGUUGAUCCUCUGGGGGCUGAUGCAGAAGAUGCCGACCCGCUUGAGACGCCUCUGCGCGUACACAAUCCCAGCAGUCAUUGCGGCUGGUAAGG